rnacentral:misc_RNA from 1 species
UUUCCGUAGGUGAACCUGCGGAAGGAUCAUUAUUGAAUAAACCUGAUGUGGUUGUAGCUGGCCCUUUCGGGAGCAUGUGCACACCCGUCGUCUUUAUCUUUCCGCCUGUGCACCUUUUGUAGACCUGGAUGUAACACUUUCCGAGGCAACCCGGUCGGGAGGAAUGCUGUCAGCUUUCCUUGAAUGUCCAGGCCUAUGUUUUCAUAUACCCCAAAGAAUGUAACAGAAUGUAUUAUUGGGCCUUGUGCCUAUAAACUAUAUACAACUUUCAGCAACGGAUCUCUUGGCUCUC